rnacentral:sRNA from 1 species
UGGUGGACGUAGGGCCGCUAGUCGGGCG